rnacentral:rRNA from 1 species
UACAGAGGUCCCAAGCGUUGUUCGGAUUCACUGGCGUAAAGGGUGCGUAGGUGGCCAGGUAAGUUUGGUGUGAAAGCUCGGAGCUUAACUCCGAAAAGUCAUUGAAUACUAUCUGGCUGGAGGGUCGGAGGGGAGACUGGAAUUCUCGGUGUAGCAGUGAAAUGCGUAGAUAUCGAGAGGAACACCAGUGGCGAAGGCGAGUCUCUGGACGACACCUGACACUGAGGCACGAAAGCUAGGGGAGCAAACAGG